GCCGACCUCGGAUCAGACGAGUGUACCCGCUGAACUUAAGCAUAUCAGUAAGCGGAGGAGAAGAAACUAACAAGGAUUCCCUCAGUAACGGCGAG
rnacentral:rRNA from 1 species